rnacentral:tRNA from 1 species
AACUAAUAAGUAUAAAAAUACAUUUGUUUUGAAAACAAAAAAUGAUCUUUAUCAUUAGUUU